rnacentral:rRNA from 1 species
CUUGGUCAUUUAGAGGAAGUAAAAGUCGUAACAAGGUAACCGUAGGUGAACCUGCGGUUGGAUCAUUAACAAAUUAAAAAGGUAUAAGCUUUGCUUAUUAUCUUUUAAAAGACUAAGUUACCCUUCAAAGGUGCUUAUCUUUUAACAUUUUGUGAAUUGUAUUAUUGUCAAACUAUUUCUUGAGGGACUUUUUGAAUAAAAUUAUAUUUUUUUCAAAAAGUUUACUUAUAAACUCAAGAAUUUUUUAUCUUUAACAUGAAUUAUUAUAAUUGGCCUUUAAAUCUUUAAAUUUAUAAUUUAAAACAACUUUUGACAACGGAUCUCUAGGCUCUCGCAACGAUGAAGAACGCAGCGAAAUGCGAUAAGUAAUGUGAAUUGCAGAAUUCCGUGAAUCAUUAAAUCUUUGAACGCACAUUGCGCUCUUUGGUACUCCGAAGAGCAUAUCUGUUUGAGAAUCAGUUUAAUCUCAUAAACCUAUUUUUAUUUAUAAAGAUGGUGUUUAUGGACUUGGGACUUUUCAAUCCUCGUGAUUGGAAUGACCUGCAAUUAAUUUGUUGCCUUUUAAGUUUAACUAAAAGACUACCUAGGCAUGACCAAUGAACUUUAUUGUUCUUUGAUUGCUCAAUGGUUUAAAGUUUUUUAAUUAGAUUUAAUUAUAAAGGAACAUAUAAAUAAACAAUACAAAGGAACCUUAAAAAUUCUUUUAAGACAAGAUCUCAAAUCAGAUAAGACUACCCGCUGAACUUAAGCAUAUCAAUAAGCGGAGGAAAAGAAACUAACAAGGAUUCCCCUAGUAACGGCGAGUGAAGCGGGAAUAGCUCAAAUUUGAAAUCCUACUGGUUUCCAGUAUGAAUUGUAGUUUAAAGAAAUGUUUUCGAAGACAACCCAGGAUCAAGUCUCUUGGGAUGGAGCAUCAUAGAAGGUGAGAAUCCUGUAUGUGUUCUGGCGUUGUUUUUAUGUGAUACAUUUUCAAAGAGUCAGGUUGUUUGGGAAUGCAGCCUAAAAUGGGAGGUAAAUACCUUCUAAAGCUAAAUAUUGGCGAGAGACCGAUAGCGAACAAGUACCGUGAGGGAAAGAUGAAAAGAACUUUGAAAAGAGAGUUAAAAGUACGUGAAAUUGUCAAAAGGGAAACACUUGAAACCAGUCUUGCAGUUAAAAUCCCAACUAGUCUAACGAUUAGCAUAUGUUUUUAAUUGCAGGUCAAUAUCAGUUUCUUUUGGAGUACAAAACCUGAGGAAGGUAGCUAGCAAUAGUGUUAUAGUUUCAGGUAAUGCUCUGGGGGAGACUGAGGAAUGCAGUGCAGUCUUGGGUACCCUGUCGCUAGUUGAUGCAUUUUUAUAGAAUACUUGUAUACUGUAAGAAUGAUAAGGCUAAUCGGCGGGCUUGCCACACCUGUGCUUAGGAUAUUGACAUAAUGGUUUUAAAUGACCCGUCUUGAAACACGGACC